GCAGUAGCCACGGUAAUACGUAGGUGGCAAGCGUUGUCCGGAAUUAUUGGGCGUAAAGGGCUCGCAGGCGGUUUCUUAAGUCUGAUGUGAAAGCCCCCGGCUCAACCGGGGAGGGUCAUUGGAAACUGGGAAACUUGAGUGCAGAAGAGGAGAGUGGAAUUCCACGUGUAGCGGUGAAAUGCGUAGAGAUGUGGAGGAACACCAGUGGCGAAGGCGACUCUCUGGUCUGUAACUGACGCUGAGGAGCGAAAGCGUGGGGAGCGAACAGGAUUAGAUACCCCCGUAGUCCCUGUCUCUUAUAC
rnacentral:rRNA from 1 species